GACGAACGCUGGCGGCGUGCCUAAUACAUGCAAGUAGAACGCACAGUUUAUACCGUAGCUUGCUACACCAUAGACUGUGAGUUGCGAACGGGUGAGUAACGCGUAGGUAACCUGCCUGGUAGCGGGGGAUAACUAUUGGAAACGAUAGCUAAUACCGCAUAAUAUUAAUUAUUGCAUGAUAAUUAAUUGAAAGGUGCAAUUGCACCACUACCAGAUGGACCUGCGUUGUAUUAGCUAGUAGGUGAGGUAACGGCUCACCUAGGCGACGAUACAUAGCCGACCUGAGAGGGUGAUCGGCCACACUGGGACUGGGACACGGCCCAGAAUCCUACGGGAGGCAGCAGUAGGGAAUCUUCGGCAAUGGACGAAAGUCUGAACGAGCAACGCCGCGUGAGUGAAGAAGGUUUUCGGAUCGUAAAGCUCUGUUGUAAGAGAAGAACGGGUGUGAGAGUGGAAAGUUCACACUGUGACGGUAUCUUACCAGAAAGGGACGGCUAACUACGUG
rnacentral:rRNA from 1 species